UAUAAACAAGUUGCAAUCCUAUGCAUACUUAAUAGGAGUGAUCCCCACUGAAUGCAUGCACAGAAUUCCUCCAUAAGGCUUUUUUUUUUUAAAAAAAAAAGUUCAUUGAUGCACACGGCGCUACAUGCAAAUAUUGCUAUUCCACCACCAACACUCUCACACGCACUCACAUCACGAAAAGCAAAGGAUGAUUUGAGGAGCGAUUAGCUGCUCCCAGCGCAACACAAGGUCCCUUGUGAGAGUCAAAGAUUAUUACCGGCUGAAUACUCUGCUGAGCUAAAGAAGCUUUGAAUUGUUUUCUUUAGAAAGCAGCCAUGCAUUCUUAAGAUACAACUCUGGAUCUGGCUUGCUGCUCUAGCUACACAGAUUCUUGCAGCAGUCAGAGGGCUUCUUAAUACUUCUACGUCAGCCUUUGAUACUGAGAAUUUCAGAGUGGCUUCCCUGAGGCCCAGCAAGUUUAUGGAAUGGGAUUUGAACCAGCGACUUCCUGAUGCUUAGCUCUUUCUCAGAGCCGCUGUGCUGCCACAGCUGUUGACAGGGAACUGCCUGCUGCAUCCUCUGCUUUGAAGUCACCCUGGUCUUUGGGCCUCCAGCACCUUCUUCAGCAUGUCCAACC